rnacentral:rRNA from 1 species
AGUGAACGCUGGCGGUAGGCCUAACACAUGCAAGUCGAACGGCAGCACAGUAAGAGCUUGCUCUUACGGGUGGCGAGUGGCGGACGGGUGAGGAAUACAUCGGAAUCUACUUUUUCGUGGGGGAUAACGUAGGGAAACUUACGCUAAUACCGCAUACGACCUACGGGUGAAAGCAGGGGAUCUUCGGACCUUGCGCGAUUGAAUGAGCCGAUGUCGGAAUAGCUAGUUGGCGGGGUAAAGGCCCACCAAGGCGACGAUCCGUAGCUGGUCUGAGAGGAUGAUCGGCCACACUGGAACUGAGACACGGUCCAGACUCCUACGGGAGGCAGCAGUGGGGAAUAUUGGACAAUGGGCGCAAGCCUGAUCCAGCCAUACCGCGUGGGUGAAGAAGGCCUUCGGGUUGUAAAGCCCUUUUGUUGGGAAAGAAAAGCAGCAGGUUAAUACCCCGCUGUUCUGACGGUACCCAAAGAAUAAGCACCGGCUAACUUCGUG